rnacentral:pre_miRNA from 1 species
CUACUACUCCCUCCGUCCGAAAAUACUUGUCAUUGAAAUGGAUGUAUCUAGAUGUAUUUNUGGAUGUAUCUAGAUGUAUUUUAGUUCUAGACACAUCCAUUUUGAUGACAAGUAAUUCCGGACGGAGGGAGUAUUAU